rnacentral:rRNA from 1 species
UACCAGCACCCCGAGUGGUCGGGACGAUUAUUGGGCCUAAAGCAUCCGUAGCCGGUCCUACAAGUCUUCCGUUAAAUCCACCUGCUUAACAGAUGGGCUGCGGAAGAUACUAUAGGGCUAGGAGGCGGGAGAGGCAAGCGGUACUCAGUGGGUAGGGGUAAAAUCCUCUGAUCCGUUGAAGACCACCAGUGGCGAAGGCGGCUUGCCAGAACGCGCUCGACGGUGAGGGAUGAAAGCUGGGGGAGCAAACCGG